rnacentral:snoRNA from 1 species
ACGACCUUACUUGAACAGGAUCUGUUCUAUAGGCUCGUACCGCUGCAUCCUUUACCAUAAGGAGGCAAGCACUUAAGUCUGGUUGAUGCAUUCUAACCUCUCGACUAGAGCGUGAUUAACGGCCUAGAUUGCUCCUGAUGGGAGCAUCCAGUGGCUGUAGAGGAUCGUUCCUGACAGGCUCACACCUGUUCAGGGUGACCUAGAGGUUGUCUGACAGGCU